UACGUAGGGAGCAAGCGUUGUCCGGAAUCAUUGGGCGUAAAGCGCGCGUAGGUGGCCUCGUAAGUCCGCUGUGAAAGUCAAAGGCUCAACCUUUGAAAGCCGGUGGAUACUGUGAGGCUAGAGUACGGAAGAGGCGAGUGGAAUUCCUGGUGUAGCGGUGGAAUGCGCAGAUAUCAGGAGGAACACCAAUAGCGAAGGCAGCUCGCUGGGACGGUACUGACGCUAAGGCGCGAAAGCGUGGGGAGCGAACAGG
rnacentral:rRNA from 1 species